rnacentral:lncRNA from 1 species
GGGGUGAGGGCGAGCCUGGGGGGUGUGCCAUGCACCUCUGAUGUCAGAGCCGGGUCUUGCAUGGUCCCUUUGCUGGGUUUUGGCCCCUCCUUCCUCUUGUCUGGCUCUGACCAGCAGCGGCCCAGGCAGGUGGUCCUGGCCUCUGUGCUGGGUGACACUGAGAACAGACAGAGUUGGACCUGGGCUGUUCAAGGGAUAAAUAGGGUGUCAGAGAGAGGAAAAGAGGUUGAAGGGGAGCUGUUCCUGGAAAAGUCAGAGAGCGUCUUAGAGGAGGGGACUUGUGAGUGGGGUACUGAUGUAUGAAUAGAAGUUCCCAGGAUGAGACAGGAAUACAUUCAUUCACUGAUUUGUACACAAGCAUGUGCUGGGCUUGUGAGGUUGGUUGUGAUUAUCUGCUCAUCCAUUCAUUCGCCCAUUCACUUUGAUUGGGAGAGUGGCGUGUGUAAGAAUUACCCCAGCCAGCCAUGCUCUGGCCUGUAAAUAUGAGUGGAGACCCAGUCCCUGCCCCGGUGUAGCUCGGAUCCAGGCUCAGAGGCGCUGUGUACAAGGAGCGGGGACACCUGACCCAGCCUGGAGGGGCGCCCGGCCUGGGCCACUGCAUUGCAGGUGACUUGUGCUUGGGCCGGGCCGGGCUCUGGCUGCUGCUGCUGCUGCCGGGCUCAGUGGCCCAGGCCUGAGGGUCACCAUGGACCAGGCCGCCCAGGGGACCCCACCUAACGCCACAGCCAGCAGCCGUGGCCAGGACACCAGGCCCUGGGGGACAUCGGGGGACAUGGAGGUGCCACUGGGACCCCUGGAGCUCCGCCUCUGGGGUGUGGAGAACCCGCCUUCAGCCCUUCGAGACGGAGGACGCCAGGGAAGGGAUUUACAGGGACGGCAGCGAUGACCUCACCAUGGGUUCCAGCAGACCCCAGAGGUCAGACACUGCCCUUCGAUGAGUGGGCCUUGCUGGUGCAUUCCUGUGAUCCCAGGACUCGGGAGGCUGAGGCGGGAGGAUCGUCAUGAGUUUGAGGCUGGCCUGGACUCAAGGCAUGAGAACCCUUCCCACAGAUCCCGACUUGCCCAAGUAAUGAGAAUUCAUGGGAGCUACAAAAGCAGGACUGAAACUGGAAUUGACCAGGACCUGGCCCACUGCAGCUGAUCCUUAAAAGUCACACUGGCUCUGUGGGUGAGCAGUUUGAACCUUG